AUACUUAACCUGGCAGGUCAGAUACCAUGAUCGUGAAAGUGGUUUUCCUAGGGCGAGUCUUAUCCAUUGCACUCUGGGUGUGCUGACCCCUGCAAUUUCCCCAAAUGUGGGAAACCUGACUGCAUAAUUUGUAGUAGAGGGGGACUGUAUUCAUGAUCUCUCCUA